rnacentral:rRNA from 1 species
ACGGGCCCGCACAAGCAGUGGAACAUGUGGUUCAAUUCGACGCUACGCGAAGAACCUCACCAGGGUUUGACAUAUAGGUAGUAGGAACCUGAAAGGGAGACGACUCGUUAAGCCGAGUGCCUAUACAGGUGUUGCAUGGCUGUCGUCAGCUCGUGCCGUGAGGUGUUGGGUUAAGUCCCGCAACGAGCGCAACCAUCAUCCUUAGUUGCUACCGAGGGAUCCGAAGGGGUCCUGGCGAGCACUCUAAGGAGACUGCCCGUGAUAAACGGGAGGAAGGUGGAGAUGACGUCAAGUCCGUAUGGCCCUUAUACCCUGGGCUACACACGUGUUACAAUGGGAUGUACAGAGCGUUGCCAAACCGCGAGGUGGAGCUAAUCGCAAAAAGCAUCCCCCAGUUCAGAUUGGAGUCUGCAACCCGACUCCAUGAAGUUGGAAUUGCUAGUAACGGCGGAUCAGCUACGCCCGCCGUCGAAUACGUUCCGGGCCUU